rnacentral:lncRNA from 1 species
CACACAGGACACCCACCCAGCCUAUGGUCCUGUCUGUGGUUGGACAACAUAAUCAGAAUAACAGGGUCCAGAUGUCAGGGAUGGAAGUUGGAGAAAGAUGAGGCAGCAGCAGACACUUUCUCCUGUUGGCCUUAAAGAAGCAACCGCCUGUGCUGGGAGAGGGUCACUGGGCUGAGAUUGGUAGGUGGCUCUGGGAGCUGAGGGCCUAAACCUAUGACCACAAGGAACUGAAUUCAUCCCAAAGCCAGAGAGGUGGAAGACGACUCAGAAGAUGCAGAUGCCAAUGCCACAUCCUGGUAAAGGUUCUCGGAAGGACCCAAUGAGACUGGGCUCACUGGGAUAAUCCAGGAUCAUCUCCCAUCUCAAGGUUCUUCAUCGCAUACUUGCAAAGCCCCUUUUGCCAUGUCAGGUAACUUGUUCACAGGUUUGAAGAUUAGAAUGUGG